GAUGAACGCUCGCUACAGGCUUAACACAUGCAAGUCGAGGGGCAGCAUGAACUUAGCUUGCUAAGUUUGAUGGCGACCGGCGCACGGGUGAGUAACACGUAUCCAACCUGCCGAUGACUCGGGGAUAGCCUUUCGAAAGAAAGAUUAAUACCCGAUGGCAUAGUUCUUCCGCAUGGUAGAACUAUUAAAGAAUUUCGGUCAUCGAUGGGGAUGCGUUCCAUUAGGUUGUUGGCGGGGUAACGGCCCACCAAGCCUUCGAUGGAUAGGGGUUCUGAGAGGAAGGUCCCCCACAUUGGAACUGAGACACGGUCCAAACUCCUACGGGAGGCAGCAGUGAGGAAUAUUGGUCAAUGGACGAGAGUCUGAACCAGCCAAGUAGCGUGAAGGAGGACUGCCCUAUGGGUUGUAAACUUCUUUUAUACGGGAAUAAAGUGAGGCACGUGUGCCUUUUUGUAUGUACCGUAUGAAUAAGGAUCGGCUAACUCCGUG
rnacentral:rRNA from 1 species